GGUUUCUUUGUCAUAUAGUUCAAUUGCUGUUGCUUGUAAAUGUUUUAUAAACCAGUACAGCGAAGUAGCGAAAUUUCGGGCCGUCUUUCACAAUAAAUAACAUCACAAUAACUGCAGAUCUUUUUCUCUUUAAUACAGAAUCAUUUUCCCCGUCCAUUGAGUUAUAAUUUCCAAAACGAACCAGUCGCUAUAACGUAAAAUAAGCGGGUAUUUGUGAACAAAAAUGCCCUUUGAUAUAACACGAGGUAACCAGCGCCAUCUUGUCUUCUC
rnacentral:lncRNA from 1 species